UUUCCAGCCAGGCUCCUGGCUAAAGUCCAGCUCUUAGCUGGAUUUGGGCCAAGCUUGGCUGAAAA
rfam:Cricetulus griseus cell line CHO-K1, whole genome shotgun sequence.